GUCGGCAGUGUUCAGCUGUGUGUGAAUGAAGAAGAGUAAAUGAUGGAUCUUCAGAACUGCAGCAGUGGAGGAGGACCUCCUGUCCUAAAAUAAGGCUGCAGAUCCAGGGGUUCAUGGACAGAGGGAAUUGUGGUAAACUGAGAUGCUGGUGCUGUUGUUCUCCCACUGCACACGGUCACUCAGGUUUGUGGACGGUGGAGUGGGUGGAUGCCAGUGUUUCAGGGAGCCUCCAUGUCUAUGUUACCUUCUGGCUCUGCCUUUAGUUAGGCUGUUUUAUUCAGUUCUGCCGGAGUCAUUUGCCACACUCUGAUAAUGUUUUAAUAUUCUCAGUUUUGCAUAAAUCCAGUCAAAACUAAUUCCAUCUCUCUGCUUUCCUCCGAGUUACUGACUGCCCACCUGUCUGACCCGAUACCGAUGUUGGACCCUCAGGCUCUCGCGUCUCCUGUCCGGCCAGACUGAUGGAAGUUUCUGAAGUCAGCUCUUCUCCACCACCCACCACAGAUCAGCUGCUCAUCGUCCAUCUUACUCUCCACUACUGAUUACAUCCAAGCCAUUAGUGGCGCUAUUACACUCCUGAGUACAUAAAACCUAUGUGGAUGUAUGAAAGACUUUUUAAAAUUAAUUUAAAAGCCGUUUGACCAGUGGUAGGAUGGUCCCCCCUCAAAUGUGAGUCUUGGUCCUCCCAAGGUUUCUUCCUCCUCCUGCAGCUCUGAGGGAGUUUUUCCUUGCCUCCGUGCUCACUGGGGGUUCUGUAUUCUGUAUUUUCUAUGUGUAAUGUUUUGCCUGAUUCUUUGUCCUGUAAUCAUGUUUCUGUAAAGCUGCUUUGUGCCAACACCUGUUGUAAAAAGCGCUAUACAAAUAAAUUUGAUUUGAUUUGA